rnacentral:snRNA from 1 species
GCUACCGUGCGCUGGAUU